rnacentral:lncRNA from 1 species
GAAAAGCCACCAUUUUUGAAAAGGAUGGUGAUAAGAGUAUUUUAAAGACUUAUAAGCAUCUCAGAGUAAAUCCGAGUAAAUGAUUGUAGUGAUACUAGAUUAGUAUUUACUGGUGUUGUAAAUGAUAGUCAGUAAGUGAAUGUUAGUAUAUAUUUUGUACCUAGUGGCAGGCUAGUAGACAUCAGAAUGAAAUUUUUAAAAAAAAUAUGUACACUUUGUGUGUCUUAAUU